rnacentral:rRNA from 1 species
UACAGAGGGGGCAAGCGUUGUUCGGAAUUACUGGGCGUAAAGGGCGCGUAGGCGGCCUGUUAAGUCGAACGUGAAAUCCCCGGGCUCAACCCGGGAACUGCGUCCGAUACUGGCAGGCUUGAAUCCGGGAGAGGGAUGCGGAAUUCCAGGUGUAGCGGUGAAAUGCGUAGAUAUCAGGAGGAACACCGGUGGCGAAGGCGGUUCUCUGGGCAUUACCUGACGCUGAGGAGCGAAAGUGUGGGGAGCGAACAGG